GACGUAGGGUCCAAGCAUUAUCCGGAAUUAUUGGGCGUAAAGGGUAGGUAGGUGGCAAUGUAAGUUCAUGGUUAAAGUCCGCAGCUCAACUGCGGAAGCGCUGUGAAAACUGCAUAGCUAGAGACCAGCAGGGGCAAGUGGAAUUCCCGGUGUAGGGGUGAAAUCCGUUGAUAUCGGGAGGAACACCAGUGGCGAAGGCGGCUUGCUAGGUUGGAUCUGACACUGAGCUACGAAAGCGUGGGGAGCGAAACGG
rnacentral:misc_RNA from 1 species